AGUCAUGCUUAAUGGCCAAGUUAUGCCACCCAAACAGCAGACUUCUGUUAAUGGGAAGGCCAUCAUGGGUUGGAGGACAAUGGAACAGGGGAGAAAACAUGAAAUUGAACUUGACAAGAUAUCUUUCGACUGGUUUUGCUGUCAUGACUUAACCCCGUACACCUCUUACACCUGAAAAAUGACACAGCUUUAUGAGGAGGAGCUAAAAUGGUUUCCACUGACAUGAUUUGAUCUCAAACCAUAAAGAGUCGGCUGUCCUUCCAACCCUGUGAGUGCAGAAUCUCAAGGUGAUCCACAAGUGUCCAACUCAGAUGAAGACUCCCUUCCAUCUCAUCUUUAACUGAAGCACAGCCACAGAAGAAUCCAACCUUGGUGGGGAUCAACAGCUGCCAGAUGACAAGAGCUUCCAACCUGUCUUCCGAACAGGGAAAAGGAGGAACGCCAUGAAGCCUAAACAAAGACCAUGGUGAGCGCCCACAUUAUUGGUGUGGCUGACUGCUGCACUGGGAAUUCUUAUCCCCCCUUCGUCCUUCACUGCUUUCUAUGCAGUUCCCCCCAUCGUUUUCCGGAGACCAGUAGGAUUGAUAUACUGAAGGCUGGUGGAAGAAGGCGUCAUCAUGGAGCCAAAGUUUCUUCUGAAGUCGGAAGGGUCCACAAGCACGAACAAGAGUUACGUACCCAUCACCGGUGGUCGGUUCUCAUGAACAAUCAAGUGAUGAUGGGGCUGAUCCUUCUUCUUCUUCUUCUUCUUCUUCUUGGUUCUGGAAGUCAAAUUUCCCGUGGUCACCACCCAGUCAACAGUACCAGAGACCACAGCAAGUGUCGACUCUAUGUUUCUGAUUGAAGUCUUAUUAUUCUC